rnacentral:rRNA from 2 species
GUUAAGUUAGAAAGGGCGCACGGUGAAUGCCUUGGCACUAGGAGCCGAUGAAGGACGGGACUAACACCGAUAUGCUUCGGGGAGCUGUAAGUGAGCUUUGAUCCGGAGAUUUCCGAAUGGGUAAACCCACUGUUCGUAAUGGAACAGUAUCUUUAUCUGAAUACAUAGGAUAUUGAAGGCAGACCCGGGGAACUGAAACAUCUAAGUACCCGGAGGAAGAGAAAGCAAAUGCGAUUUCCUGAGUAGCGGCGAGCGAAACGGAAUUAGCCCAAACCAAGAGGCUUGCCUCUUGGGGUUGUAGGACACUCUAUACGGAGUUACAAAGGAACGAAGUAAAUGAAGCGACCUGGAAAGGUCCGUCGAAGAAGGUAACAACCCUGUAGUUGAAACUUCGUUCCCUCUUGAGUGGAUCCUGAGUACGGCGGAACACGUGAAAUUCCGUCGGAAGCUGGGAGGACCAUCUCCCAAGGCUAAAUACUACCUAGUGACCGAUAGUGAACCAGUACCGUGAGGGAAAGGUGAAAAGCACCCCGGAAGGGGAGUGAAAGAGAUCCUGAAACCGUGUGCCUACAAGUAGUCAGAGCCCGUUAACGGGUGAUGGCGUGCCUUUUGUAGAAUGAACCGGCGAGUUACGAUCCCAUGCAAGGUUAAGCUGAUAAGGCGGAGCCGUAGCGAAAGCGAGUCUGAAUAGGGCGUUUAGUAUGUGGUUGUAGACCCGAAACCAGGUGAUCUACCCAUGUCCAGGGUGAAGUUCAGGUAACACUGAAUGGAGGCCCGAACCCACGCACGUUGAAAAGUGCGGGGAUGAGGUGUGGGUAGCGGAGAAAUUCCAAUCGAACCUGGAGAUAGCUGGUUCUCUCCGAAAUAGCUUUAGGGCUAGCCUCAUGUUGUGAGAGUCUUGGAGGUAGAGCACUGAUUGGACUAGGGGCCCCCAACGGGUUACCGAAUUCAGUCAAACUCCGAAUGCCAAAGACUUAUCCAUGGGAGUCAGACUGCGAGUGAUAAGAUCCGUAGUCAAAAGGGAAACAGCCCAGACCACCAGCUAAGGUCCCCAAGUAUACGUUAAGUGGAAAAGGAUGUGGAGUUGCUUAGACAACCAGGAUGUUGGCUUAGAAGCAGCCACCAUUUAAAGAGUGCGUAAUAGCUCACUGGUCGAGUGACUCUGCGCCGAAAAUGUACCGGGGCUAAACGUAUCACCGAAGCUGUGGAUUGACAUCUUUGAUGUCAGUGGUAGGAGAGCGUUCUAAGUGCAGCGAAGUCAGACCGUAAGGACUGGUGGAGCGCUUAGAAGUGAGAAUGCCGGUAUGAGUAGCGAAAGACAAGUGAGAAUCUUGUCCACCGAAUGCCUAAGGUUUCCUGAGGAAGGCUCGUCCGCUCAGGGUUAGUCGGGACCUAAGCCGAGGCUGAAAAGCGUAGGCGAUGGCCAACAGGUUGAUAUUCCUGUACCACCUCCCCGCCGUUUGAGUAAUGGGGGGACGCAGUAGGAUAGGGUAAGCGCGCUGCUGGAUAUGCGCGUUCAAGCAGUUAGGCUGAUGAGUAGGCAAAUCCGCUCAUCAUAAAGGCUGAGCUGUGAUGACGAGGGAAUUAUAGUACCGAAGUUCCUGAUUCCACACUGCCAAGAAAAGCCUCUAGCGAGGCGGGAGGUGCCCGUACCGCAAACCGACACAGGUAGGCGAGGAGAGAAUCCUAAGGUGAUCGAGAGAACUCUCGUUAAGGAACUCGGCAAAAUGACCCCGUAACUUCGGGAGAAGGGGUGCUCUGGUAGGGUGUAUAGCCCGAGAGAGCCGCAGUGAAUAGGCCCAGGCGACUGUUUAGCAAAAACACAGGUCUCUGCGAAGCCGCAAGGCGAAGUAUAGGGGCUGACGCCUGCCCGGUGCUGGAAGGUUAAGAGGAGGGGUUAUCCUUUGGGAGAAGCUCUGAAUCGAAGCCCCAGUAAACGGCGGCCGUAACUAUAACGGUCCUAAGGUAGCGAAAUUCCUUGUCGGGUAAGUUCCGACCCGCACGAAAGGCGUAACGAUCUGGGCACUGUCUCAACGAGAGACUCGGUGAAAUUAUAGUACCUGUGAAGAUGCAGGUUACCCGCGACAGGACGGAAAGACCCCGUGGAGCUUUACUGUAGCCUGAUAUUGAAUUUUGGUACAGCUUGUACAGGAUAGGUAGGAGCCUGAGAAGCCGGAGCGCUAGCUUCGGUGGAGGCGUCGGUGGGAUACUACCCUGGCUGUAUUGAAAUUCUAACCCGCGGCCCUGAUCGGGCCGGGAGACAGUGUCAGGUGGGCAGUUUGACUGGGGCGGUCGCCUCCUAAAAUGUAACGGAGGCGCCCAAAGGUUCCCUCAGAAUGGUUGGAAAUCAUUCGUAGAGUGUAAAGGCACAAGGGAGCUUGACUGCGAGACCUACAAGUCGAGCAGGGACGAAAGUCGGGCUUAGUGAUCCGGUGGUUCCGCAUGGAAGGGCCAUCGCUCAACGGAUAAAAGCUACCCCGGGGAUAACAGGCUUAUCUCCCCCAAGAGUCCACAUCGACGGGGAGGUUUGGCACCUCGAUGUCGGCUCAUCGCAUCCUGGGGCUGUAGUCGGUCCCAAGGGUUGGGCUGUUCGCCCAUUAAAGCGGUACGCGAGCUGGGUUCAGAACGUCGUGAGACAGUUCGGUCCCUAUCCGUCGUGGGCGUAGGAAAUUUGAGAGGAGCUGUCCUUAGUACGAGAGGACCGGGAUGGACACACCGCUGGUGUACCAGUUGUCUUGCCAAAGGCAUCGCUGGGUAGCUAUGUGUGGACGGGAUAAGUGCUGAAAGCAUCUAAGCAUGAAGCCCCCCUCAAGAUGAGAUUUCCCAUAGCGCAAGCUAGUAAGAUCCCUGAAAGAUGAUCAGGUUGAUAGGUCAGAGGUGGAAGCGUGGCGACAUGUGUAGCUGACUGAUACUAAUCGAUCGAGGACUUAACC